UGAGGAGUAUUGGGCAAUGCCCGCAAGGGUGACCCAGCAACGCCGCGUGGAGGAUGAAUGUCGUAAGAUUGUAAACUCCUGUUAGAGGGGAAGAAUAGUACCGGUUGGACCGGUAUAUGACUGUACCCUCAGAGAAAGCCCCGGCUAACUACGUGCCAGCAGCCGCGGUAAUACGUAGGGGGCAAGCGUUGUCCGGAUUUACUGGGUGUAAAGGGCGCGCAGGCGGGAUAAAAAGUCAGUGGUGAAAUCCUACAGCUUAACUGUAGAACUGCCUUUGAUACUUUUAUUCUUGAGUUCGGGAGAGAGAGACGGAAUUCCAGGUGUAGUGAUGAAAUACGUAGAUAUCUGGAAGAACACCAGUUGCGAAGGCGGUCUCUUGGUCCGACACUGACGCUGAGGCGCGAAAGCGUGGG
rnacentral:rRNA from 1 species